ensembl:lncRNA
CGGCAGUUGAACAUGUCACACUUCCCGCACUUACCUCAUGCUACAAUGGAAAUACUUUUCACAUGAACAUGAUACCUUCCUAUCAAAGUUAGUUGAAUGCAGGGACUGAGCGGUGCAGCACUACUUCCCAGGGAAGACGGACUCGGAGAUCAAGGGCUACAUCCGCCAGAAGCUGCAGAACGAAGCCAAGCGGCUCCGCAAGAAGCCUCACCUGGCCGUGAAGGUGGAGCCAGAGGCCGGGUCAGAGGGGGCGGAGAGUACUUUCUACAUCUAAGGGGAGUGAAGUGCUCCACCCCUGUCCAGGUUAAAGUGCAAUUAUGGGAGGGAGACUCACAUAAUAACUGCUGUGAGAGGGAACCAAAAUGGAGCAGCCUUAUCAACACCAGUCUAGUCUAUCUGUUUGUCUGUCCAUUCCCAGCCAUGUCUCUGGUCCGGGAGAGAAAUAGGCUAGUGAGGGAGGAGUCUAUUUGUCUGACAACGUGAUCAUUCCAGGGGAAGUAUUAGGGACUCCGUGUCUGAUCGAGACUAGUUACUGCUCAGGUGAAGUUAGAUGAUACUGUAGCUUAUUCUUCCUCUGCCCUCUGGCAUCGUUCUCAAGCCUCAGCUAGCCAGCCAGCAGUAGUAGGCCUAGUAGAUGGCAAGUGAUUUGUAUCCAAGUUUCGUACUCUUGUUUCUCUGAAGGAGGUGGCAGUCAGUCGGUGCUCUGCAGGGAAGUCGACAACAUAGCCGUCAGUGAAGCUGCGCUGCACUCUGUGUCACUUCAGUUUGAUUUACAGUGUUGUCAUUGACCUCGUGAAAUGAACCUAGCCUUAGUAUUGAAUCAAUUACAAUGUUGC